rnacentral:rRNA from 1 species
AUUGAACGCUGGCGGCAGGCCUAACACAUGCAAGUCGAGCGGUAACAUGGGAGCUUGCUCCUGAUGACGAGCGGCGGACGGGUGAGUAACGCGUAGGAAUCUACCCAGUAGCGGGGGAUAGCCCGGGGAAACUCGGAUUAAUACCGCAUACGCCCUACGGGGGAAAGGCCGGGAUCUUCGGACCGGUCACUAUUGGAAGAGCCUGCGUAAGAUUAGCUAGUUGGUAGGGUAAAGGCCUACCAAGGCGACGAUCUUUAACUGGUCUGAGAGGAUGAUCAGUCACACCGGAACUGAGACACGGUCCGGACUCCUACGGGAGGCAGCAGUGGGGAAUAUUGGACAAUGGGGGCAACCCUGAUCCAGCCAUGCCGCGUGUGUGAAGAAGGCCUUCGGGUUGUAAAGCACUUUAGGUUGGGAAGUAGGCCUUGGGGUUAAUAGCCUUGAGGAUUGACAUUACCAACAGAAUAAGCACCGGCUAACUCCGUGCCAGCAGCCGUGGUAAUACGGAGGGUGCAAGCGUUAAUCGGAAUUACUGGGCGUAAAGCGCGCGUAGGUGGUGCGGUAAGUUAGAUGUGAAAGCCCCGGGCUCAACCUGGGAAUGGCAUUUGAUACUG